rnacentral:tRNA from 2 species
GUGCGCUUAGCUCAGCUGGAUAGAGCGUCUGGCUACGGACCAGAAGGUCGGGGGUUCGAAUCCUCUAGCGCACG